GAGCCCAGAGGUUUCCUGUCGGGCAAAUCUCCAAGCUCCCGGGUAAACCCAGAGGGUUGAUGCUGUAGCAUACACUUUGCAUGUAUGGUUGUGCAUCUGAAAAUAGCGGAUCUUUUGUAAGAUUUUCGUCGGUGGGGCGGUAAGUGCCAAGUCCAGGUUAGGGUCCACGAGAUGGUAGUGUCCCGACGACUGUCUCCAGGGUGUGUUGUCAUUUAUGGGAUCUGCCAGGAAGCGUACACAGCAUAACCUCAGGAUACGGGAAGUCUUUAAAAAAACAAAACCGGAAAGAGCCUAAUUUGUUAAUUUUGUGAAUUUGUGUAUUUUCGAGUCUCAUUCCAAAAAAAUGCCUCCCCUCCCCAAAGCCUCCAGUCAGUAAUUUCUGCUCUCUACGUGAAUUCCCUUUUUGCGUUCGUAGUUUAUUACCUGUCAGUACCAAUUUCUCUUUUGUGACCCUGGCGUUGUAUGUAUUUAAUAAAAGUUUAUUUCUACUUGGUAAUUUUUUUCGAUCAAAUUCACUUCAUAGAACGUGAACUUGACCUCUCGAAUUACAGUUAAAGGUUGUCAUACAUGCCAACUUUGGUAUUAAGGCAAAGUUGAAACCGCCUUUUCUCCCGGAAGUUUCCACAUGGGGUAAAGGACAACAGUCUCCUCGGAGUUCUCACAGUGCAACUUUAUCUCUCCCCAGUGACUUGGAAAAACUUAGAACAUCCUGCACCUUCUCCCGAUUUUUAAGGAAGGUAGAAGUGUCCGGUGUCCAGGCUCUGCUAUUACUUGAAGCAACUUUGUUAAUGAAACCAGUUCCAAAGUCUUGCCUGAUACUUCUGAGACCAUCUCUACGAGACGAAACACCCUUGUUUCGUUCAAAGUGGCAGUCGUGACCCAGCAUUGCGUCUCCGUGGAAAUGGGGGUGCGGAAGAGCCCCUCCGAAUAAUCACCAAGUAGGAAUUCUUGUGUGCGGUUACCCAUUUUACUGUUUCAAAUUUACUUAAGAGACUCAGAACGAAGGCACAAGGAGGUAAGUUUAGGGAGAGUGUUCCUGACGUUGUGAAUGUGACACUAAUAUAGAUGAAUCUUUCAUUUCUAAAAUACUUACAUUUAGGGAAUGUUUUGUUAGAAAAUAACAUUUGUUCUUACAAAGUUUUCAUUAUAAAAAAAAUACAUAGAAAAUGGAGAUGACAGCGAUUACUGAAAGGACCCUUUUGGUGUUGUGUUGUGCCUUCUGGAAAUUUCUGUGUGCACAGACACCUAAGGGAGAUUAAAAUGUUUGGUUAAUUUCUCAUAA